rnacentral:rRNA from 1 species
GGGAACGUGCCCUUCGGUUCGGAAUAACUCAGGGAAACUUGAGCUAAUACCGGAUACGCCCUUUUGGGGAAAGGUUUACUGGCCGAAGAACGGCCCGCGGCUUUUUAAUUUGUUGGUGAGGGUACCGGUCACCCAGGGGACCAAUAAUAACUUGUCUGAAAAGAUGAACAACCACCCUGGGACUGAAAAACGGCCCAAAAUCCCACCGGAGGGAGGAAUGGGGAAAAAUGGACAAAGGGGGCAACCCUUAACCCGCCAUGCCCGGGGAGUGAUUAACGCCUUAAGGUUGUAAAGGUUUUUUUUCCCGGACGAUUAUUAAGGUCCCGGAAGAAUAAGCCCCGGCUAACUUCCUGCCAGCCGCCCCGGGAAUACCAAAGGGGCUAGCGUUGGUUGGAAUCACUUGGCGUAAAGGGCGCGUAAGCCGCUUGUUUAAUCCAGGGUGAAAGCCCGUGGCUCAACCACCGAAUGGCCUUCGAUACUGGUUGGCUUGGAACCGGAAAAAGAAGGGGGAACUGCCAGGGUAAAGGUGAAAUUCGUAAAUAUUCGCAAGAACACCCGUGGCGAAAGCCGCCUUCUGGGCCGGUUCUUACGCUUAAGCGGAAAGCAUGGGGAGCAAACAAGAUUAAAUACCCUGGUUGUCCCCGCUGUAAACGAUUAAUGCUAGCCCUUGGGGUGCCUGCACCUCCCUGGCGCCCCUUACGCAUUAAACAUUCCGCCUGGGGAGUACGGGCGCAGAUUAAACUCCCAGAAUUGACGGGGCCCGCACAAGCAGUGGAGCAUGUGAGUUUAAUU